rnacentral:rRNA from 1 species
UCGCAGAUCAGAAUGCUGCGGGGAAUGCGUUCCCGGGUCUUGUACACACCGCCCGUCACACCACGGGAGUUGGAGACGCCCGAAGCCGAUUAUCUAACCUUUUGGAAGAAGUCGUCGAAGGUGGAAUAAAUAACUGGGGUGAAGUCGUAACAAGGUAGCCGUAUCGGAAGGUGCGGCUGGAUCACCUCCUUUCUAAGGAGA